rnacentral:rRNA from 1 species
UACGGGGGGGGGCAAGCGUUGUUCGGAAUUACUGGGCGUAAAGGGCUCGUAGGUGGCCAACUAAGUCAGACGUGAAAUCCCCAGGCUUAACCUGGGAACUGCGUCGGAUACUGGAUGGCUUGAAUCCGGGAGAGGGAUGCAGAAUUCCAGGUGUAGCGGUGAAAUGCGUAGAUAUCUGGAGGAACACCUGCGGUGUAGACGGCUUUCUGGACCAUUGCUGACGCUGAGACACGAAAGCGUGGGUAGCAAACAGG